CCUACGUGUGGCAGCAGUGAGGAAUAUUGGUCAAUGGGCGGAAGCCUGAACCAGCCAAGUCGCGUGAGGGAUUAAGGCCCUGCGGGUCGUAAACCUCUUUUGCCGGGGAGCAGUGGUCCGGACGCGUCCGGACCGGGAGAGUACCAGGAGAAAAAGCAUCGGCUCACUCCGUGCCAGCAGCCGCGGUAAUACGGAGGAUGCGAGCGUUAUCCGGAUUGAUUGGGGUUAAAGGGUGCGUAGGCGGGCAUUUAAGCCGGGGGUCAAAUGUCGGGGCCAAACCCCGGCCUGCCGUCGGAACGGGGUGCCUUGAGUGGGCGAGAAGAAGGCGGAAUGCGUGGUGUAGCGGUGAAAUGCAUAGAUAUCACGCAGAACCCCGAUUGCGAAGGCAGCCUUCCGGCGCCCUACUGACGCUGAGGCACGAAAGUGCGGGGAUCGAACAGGAUUAGAUACCCGAGUAGUC
rnacentral:rRNA from 1 species